AGCGUACACGGUGGAUGCCCUGGCAGUCAGAGGCGAUGAAGGACGUGCUAAUCUGCGAUAAGCGUCGGUAAGGUGAUAUGAACCGUUAUAACCGGCGAUUUCCGAAUGGGGAAACCCAGUGUGUUUCGACACACUAUCAUUAACUGAAUCCAUAGGUUAAUGAGGCGAACCGGGGGAACUGAAACAUCUAAGUACCCCGAGGAAAAGAAAUCAACCGAGAUUCCCCCAGUAGCGGCGAGCGAACGGGGAGCAGCCCAGAGCCUGAAUCAGUGUGUGUGUUAGUGGAAGCGUCUGGAAAGGCGCGCGAUACAGGGUGACAGCCCCGUACACAAAAAUGCACAUGCUGUGAGCUCGAUGAGUAGGGCGGGACACGUGGUAUCCUGUCUGAAUAUGGGGGGACCAUCCUCCAAGGCUAAAUACUCCUGACUGACCGAUAGUGAACCAGUACCGUGAGGGAAAGGCGAAAAGAACCCCGGCGAGGGGAGUGAAAAAGAACCUGAAACCGUGUACGUACAAGCAGUGGGAGCACGCUUAGGCGUGUGACUGCGUACCUUUUGUAUAAUGGGUCAGCGACUUAUAUUCUGUAGCAAGGUUAACCGAAUAGGGGAGCCGAAGGGAAACCGAGUCUUAACUGGGCGUUAAGUUGCAGGGUAUAGACCCGAAACCCGGUGAUCUAGCCAUGGGCAGGUUGAAGGUUGGGUAACACUAACUGGAGGACCGAACCGACUAAUGUUGAAAAAUUAGCGGAUGACUUGUGGCUGGGGGUGAAAGGCCAAUCAAACCGGGAGAUAGCUGGUUCUCCCCGAAAGCUAUUUAGGUAGCGCCUCGUGAAUUCAUCUCCGGGGGUAGAGCACUGUUUCGGCAAGGGGGUCAUCCCGACUUACCAACCCGAUGCAAACUGCGAAUACCGGAGAAUGUUAUCACGGGAGACACACGGCGGGUGCUAACGUCCGUCGUGAAGAGGGAAACAACCCAGACCGCCAGCUAAGGUCCCAAAGUCAUGGUUAAGUGGGAAACGAUGUGGGAAGGCCCAGACAGCCAGGAUGUUGGCUUAGAAGCAGCCAUCAUUUAAAGAAAGCGUAAUAGCUCACUGGUCGAGUCGGCCUGCGCGGAAGAUGUAACGGGGCUAAACCAUGCACCGAAGCUGCGGCAGCGACGCUGAUGCGUUGUUGGGUAGGGGAGCGUUCUGUAAGCCUGUGAAGGUGUGCUGUGAGGCAUGCUGGAGGUAUCAGAAGUGCGAAUGCUGACAUAAGUAACGAUAAAGCGGGUGAAAAGCCCGCUCGCCGGAAGACCAAGGGUUCCUGUCCAACGUUAAUCGGGGCAGGGUGAGUCGACCCCUAAGGCGAGGCCGAAAGGCGUAGUCGAUGGGAAACAGGUUAAUAUUCCUGUACUUGGUGUUACUGCGAAGGGGGGACGGAGAAGGCUAUGUUGGCCGGGCGACGGUUGUCCCGGUUUAAGCGUGUAGGCUGGUUUUCCAGGCAAAUCCGGAAAAUCAAGGCUGAGGCGUGAUGACGAGGCACUACGGUGCUGAAGCAACAAAUGCCCUGCUUCCAGGAAAAGCCUCUAAGCAUCAGGUAACAUCAAAUCGUACCCCAAACCGACACAGGUGGUCAGGUAGAGAAUACCAAGGCGCUUGAGAGAACUCGGGUGAAGGAACUAGGCAAAAUGGUGCCGUAACUUCGGGAGAAGGCACGCUGAUAUGUAGGUGAAGUCCCUCGCGGAUGGAGCUGAAAUCAGUCGAAGAUACCAGCUGGCUGCAACUGUUUAUUAAAAACACAGCACUGUGCAAACACGAAAGUGGACGUAUACGGUGUGACGCCUGCCCGGUGCCGGAAGGUUAAUUGAUGGGGUUAGCGCAAGCGAAGCUCUUGAUCGAAGCCCCGGUAAACGGCGGCCGUAACUAUAACGGUCCUAAGGUAGCGAAAUUCCUUGUCGGGUAAGUUCCGACCUGCACGAAUGGCGUAAUGAUGGCCAGGCUGUCUCCACCCGAGACUCAGUGAAAUUGAACUCGCUGUGAAGAUGCAGUGUACCCGCGGCAAGACGGAAAGACCCCGUGAACCUUUACUAUAGCUUGACACUGAACAUUGAGCCUUGAUGUGUAGGAUAGGUGGGAGGCUUUGAAGUGUGGACGCCAGUCUGCAUGGAGCCGACCUUGAAAUACCACCCUUUAAUGUUUGAUGUUCUAACGUUGACCCGUAAUCCGGGUUGCGGACAGUGUCUGGUGGGUAGUUUGACUGGGGCGGUCUCCUCCUAAAGAGUAACGGAGGAGCACGAAGGUUGGCUAAUCCUGGUCGGACAUCAGGAGGUUAGUGCAAUGGCAUAAGCCAGCUUGACUGCGAGCGUGACGGCGCGAGCAGGUGCGAAAGCAGGUCAUAGUGAUCCGGUGGUUCUGAAUGGAAGGGCCAUCGCUCAACGGAUAAAAGGUACUCCGGGGAUAACAGGCUGAUACCGCCCAAGAGUUCAUAUCGACGGCGGUGUUUGGCACCUCGAUGUCGGCUCAUCACAUCCUGGGGCUGAAGUAGGUCCCAAGGGUAUGGCUGUUCGCCAUUUAAAGUGGUACGCGAGCUGGGUUUAGAACGUCGUGAGACAGUUCGGUCCCUAUCUGCCGUGGGCGCUGGAGAACUGAGGGGGGCUGCUCCUAGUACGAGAGGACCGGAGUGGACGCAUCACUGGUGUUCGGGUUGUCAUGCCAAUGGCACUGCCCGGUAGCUAAAUGCGGAAGAGAUAAGUGCUGAAAGCAUCUAAGCACGAAACUUGCCCCGAGAUGAGUUCUCCCUGACUCCUUGA
rnacentral:rRNA from 1 species